rnacentral:rRNA from 1 species
CAUCUUUAGUUGCCAGCACCUUAAGCUGGGCACUCUAGAGAAACUGCCCGUGAUAAGCGGGAGGAAGGUGUGGAUGACGUCAAGUCCUCAUGGCCCUUACGGGUUGGGCUACACACGUGCUACAAUGGCAGUGACAAUGGGUUAAUCCCAAAAAGCUGUCUCAGUUCGGAUUGGGGUCUGCAACUCGACCCCAUGAAGUCGGAAUCGCUAGUAAUCGCGUAACAGCAUGACGCGGUGAAUACGUUC